GCCAGCAUGGCUUAGUGGUUUGAGCAUUGGAUUAUGACUCUAGAAACCAGGGUUUGAAUCCCUGCUUGGCC
rnacentral:tRNA from 1 species